GGGUUGUGAGGUUAAGCGACUAAGCGUACACGGUGGAUGCCCUGGCAGUCAGAGGCGAUGAAGGACGUGCUAAUCUGCGAAAAGCGUCGGUAAGGUGAUAUGAACCGUUAUAACCGGCGAUGUCCGAAUGGGGAAACCCAGUGCAAUUCGUUGCACUAUCGUUAACUGAAUACAUAGGUUAACGAGGCGAACCGGGGGAACUGAAACAUCUAAGUACCCCGAGGAAAAGAAAUCAACCGAGAUUCCCCCAGUAGCGGCGAGCGAACGGGGAGCAGCCCAGAGUCUGAAUCAGCUUGUGUGUUAGUGGAACGGUCUGGAAAGUCCGACGGUACAGGGUGAUAGUCCCGUACACCAAAAUGCACAGGCUGUGAACUCGAAGAGUAGGGCGGGACACGUGGUAUCCUGUCUGAAUAUGGGGGGACCAUCCUCCAAGGCUAAAUACUCCUGACUGACCGAUAGUGAACCAGUACCGUGAGGGAAAGGCGAAAAGAACCCCGGCGAGGGGAGUGAAAAAGAACCUGAAACCGUGUACGUACAAGCAGUGGGAGCACCUUUAUGGUGUGACUGCGUACCUUUUGUAUAAUGGGUCAGCGACUUAUAUUCUGUAGCAAGGUUAACCGUAUAGGGGAGCCGCAGGGAAACCGAGUCUUAACUGGGCGUUAAGUUGCAGGGUAUAGACCCGAAACCCGGUGAUCUAGCCAUGGGCAGGUUGAAGGUUGGGUAACACUAACUGGAGGACCGAACCGACUAAUGUUGAAAAAUUAGCGGAUGACUUGUGGCUGGGGGUGAAAGGCCAAUCAAACCGGGAGAUAGCUGGUUCUCCCCGAAAGCUAUUUAGGUAGCGCCUCGUGAACUCAUCUUCGGGGGUAGAGCACUGUUUCGGCUAGGGGGUCAUCCCGACUUACCAACCCGAUGCAAACUACGAAUACCGAAGAAUGUUAUCACGGGAGACACACGGCGGGUGCUAACGUCCGUCGUGAAGAGGGAAACAACCCAGACCGCCAGCUAAGGUCCCAAAGUCAUGGUUAAGUGGGAAACGAUGUGGGAAGGCACAGACAGCCAGGAUGUUGGCUUAGAAGCAGCCAUCAUUUAAAGAAAGCGUAAUAGCUCACUGGUCGAGUCGGCCUGCGCGGAAGAUGUAACGGGGCUAAACCAUGCACCGAAGCUGCGGCAGCGACACUAUGUGUUGUUGGGUAGGGGAGCGUUCUGUAAGCCUGCGAAGGUGGCCUGUGAGGGUUGCUGGAGGUAUCAGAAGUGCGAAUGCUGACAUAAGUAACGAUAAAGCGGGUGAAAAGCCCGCUCGCCGGAAGACCAAGGGUUCCUGUCCAACGUUAAUCGGGGCAGGGUGAGUCGACCCCUAAGGCGAGGCCGAAAGGCGUAGUCGAUGGGAAACAGGUUAAUAUUCCUGUACUUGGUGUUACUGCGAAGGGGGGACGGAGAAGGCUAUGUUAGCCGGGCGACGGUUGUCCCGGUUUAAGCAUGUAGGCGGAGGUUCCAGGUAAAUCCGGUACCUUUUAACGCUGAGGUGUGAUGACGAGGCACUACGGUGCUGAAGUAACAAAUGCCCUGCUUCCAGGAAAAGCCUCUAAGCAUCAGGUAACAUCAAAUCGUACCCCAAACCGACACAGGUGGUCAGGUAGAGAAUACCAAGGCGCUUGAGAGAACUCGGGUGAAGGAACUAGGCAAAAUGGUGCCGUAACUUCGGGAGAAGGCACGCUGGUGUGUAGGUGAAGUCCCUGCGGAUGGAGCUGAGACCAGUCGAAGAUACCAGCUGGCUGCAACUGUUUAUUAAAAACACAGCACUGUGCAAACACGAAAGUGGACGUAUACGGUGUGACGCCUGCCCGGUGCCGGAAGGUUAAUUGAUGGGGUUAUCCGUAAGGAGAAGCUCUUGAUCGAAGCCCCGGUAAACGGCGGCCGUAACUAUAACGGUCCUAAGGUAGCGAAAUUCCUUGUCGGGUAAGUUCCGACCUGCACGAAUGGCGUAAUGAUGGCCAGGCUGUCUCCACCCGAGACUCAGUGAAAUUGAACUCGCUGUGAAGAUGCAGUGUACCCGCGGCAAGACGGAAAGACCCCGUGAACCUUUACUAUAGCUUGACACUGAACAUUGAGCCUUGAUGUGUAGGAUAGGUGGGAGGCUUUGAAGCGUGGACGCCAGUCUGCGUGGAGCCAACCUUGAAAUACCACCCUUUAAUGUUUGAUGUUCUAACGUUGGCCCGUAAUCCGGGUUGCGGACAGUGUCUGGUGGGUAGUUUGACUGGGGCGGUCUCCUCCCAAAGAGUAACGGAGGAGCACGAAGGUUAGCUAAUCCUGGUCGGACAUCAGGAGGUUAGUGCAAUGGCAUAAGCUAGCUUGACUGCGAGCGUGACGGCGCGAGCAGGUGCGAAAGCAGGUCAUAGUGAUCCGGUGGUUCUGAAUGGAAGGGCCAUCGCUCAACGGAUAAAAGGUACUCCGGGGAUAACAGGCUGAUACCGCCCAAGAGUUCAUAUCGACGGCGGUGUUUGGCACCUCGAUGUCGGCUCAUCACAUCCUGGGGCUGAAGUAGGUCCCAAGGGUAUGGCUGUUCGCCAUUUAAAGUGGUACGCGAGCUGGGUUUAGAACGUCGUGAGACAGUUCGGUCCCUAUCUGCCGUGGGCGCUGGAGAAUUGAGGGGGGCUGCUCCUAGUACGAGAGGACCGGAGUGGACGCAUCACUGGUGUUCGGGUUGUCAUGCCAAUGGCACUGCCCGGUAGCUAAAUGCGGAAGAGAUAAGUGCUGAAAGCAUCUAAGCACGAAACUUGCCCCAAGAUGAGUUCUCCCUGAGACUAUAAGUCUCCUGAAGGAACGUUGAAGACGACGACGUUGAUAGGCCGGGUGUGUAAGCGCAGCGAUGCGUUGAGCUAACCGGUACUAAUGAACCGUGAGGCUUAACCUUACAACGCCGAAGCUGUU
rnacentral:rRNA from 1 species